rnacentral:rRNA from 2 species
AACGAACGCUGGCGGCAUGCCUAACACAUGCAAGUCGAACGAACCCUUCGGGGUUAGUGGCGCACGGGUGCGUAACGCGUGGGAAUCUGCCCUUUGCUUCGGAAUAACUCAGGGAAACUUGUGCUAAUACCGGAUGAUGUCUUCGGACCAAAGAUUUAUCGGCAAGGGAUGAGCCCGCGUAGGAUUAGGUAGUUGGUGGGGUAAAGGCCUACCAAGCCGACGAUCCUUAGCUGGUCUGAGAGGAUGAUCAGCCACACUGGGACUGAGACACGGCCCAGACUCCUACGGGAGGCAGCAGUGGGGAAUAUUGGACAAUGGGCGCAAGCCUGAUCCAGCAAUGCCGCGUGAGUGAUGAAGGCCCUCGGGUCGUAAAGCUCUUUUACCAGGGAUGAUAAUGACAGUACCUGGAGAAUAAGCUCCGGCUAACUCCGU